GACGAACGCUGGCGGCGUGCCUAUACAUGCAAGUAGAACGCUGAAGGAGGAGCUUGCUUCUCCGGAUGAGUUGCGAACGGGUGAGUAACGCGUAGGUAACCUGCCUGGUAGCGGGGGAUAACUAUUGGAAACGAUAGCUAAUACCGCAUAAGAGUAGAUGUUGCAUGACAUUUGCUUAAAAGGUGCAAUUGCAUCACUACCAGAUGGACCUGCGUUGUAUUAGCUAGUUGGUGGGGUAACGGCUCACCAAGGCGACGAUACAUAGCCGACCUGAGAGGGUGAUCGGCCACACUGGGACUGAGACACGGCCCAGACUCCUACGGGAGGCAGCAGUAGGGAAUCUUCGGCAAUGGACGGAAGUCUGACCGAGCAACGCCGCGUGAGUGAAGAAGGUUUUCGGAUCGUAAAGCUCUGUUGUAAGAGAAGAACGAGUGUGAGAGUGGAAAGUUCACACUGUGACGGUAUCUUACCAGAAAGGGACGGCUAACUACGUGCCAGCAGCCGCGGUAAUACGUAGGUCCCGAGCGUUGUCCGGAUUUAUUGGGCGUAAAGCGAGCGCAGGCGGUUAGAUAAGUCUGAAGUUAAAGGCUGUGGCUUAACCAUAGUACGCUUUGGAAACUGUUUAACUUGAGUGCAAGAGGGGAGAGUGGAAUUCCAUGUGUAGCGGUGAACUGCGUAGAUAUAUGGAGGAACACCGGUGGCGAAAGCGGCUCUCUGGCUUGUAACUGACGCUGAGGCUCGAAAGCGUGGGGAGCAAACAGG
rnacentral:rRNA from 1 species